AACGAACGCUGGCGGCGCGCCUAAUACAUGCAAGUCGAGCGAGAAGACGUAGCAAUACGUUUGUAAAGCGGCGAACGGGUGAGGAAUACAUGGGCAACCUACCCUCGAGUGGGGAAUAACUAGCCGAAAGGUUAGCUAAUACCGCGUACGCUCCUUGGACUUCGGUUCAGGGAGGAAAGCGAUACCGUGGGUAUCGCGCUCUUGGAUGGGCUCAUGUCCUAUCAGCUUGUUGGUGAGGUAACGGCUCACCAAGGCUUCGACGGGUAGCUGGUCUGAGAGGACGAUCAGCCACACUGGCACUGCGACACGGGCCAGACUCCUACGGGAGGCAGCAGUAAGGAAUAUUGCGCAAUGGGCGAAAGCCUGACGCAGCGACGCCGCGUGGGGGAUGAAGGUCUUCGGAUUGUAAACCCCUUUCGGGAGGGAAGAUGGAACGAGCAAUCGUUCGGACGGUACCUCCAGAAGCAGCCACGGCUAACUUCGUGCCAGCCGCCGCAGU
rnacentral:rRNA from 1 species